ACCAUUAGUGGUUUUUAUUUUUGUAACUAGCAAUCAGUUCUUUUAAAUAACGGAGAAGGACACACUAGCCCUCAGAUUUUGAUGCUUAGACAAAUUAUGCUCUUGUGAGUGUGUGCACUGUUUGUGAUUUAGUUGCUGCCAAGGUGGUGAAGCCUUUCCCGCAGGCCAGUGGUGGUGAAGCCAUGAUCAUAUCCCCCCUCCUACCUUCUCAUCUUCUUCUUUCUUUCAGGUUCUGCAGAAAUUCCAGCAAGCGUAUAUACUCAACUGUAGCAUACUUUGGGUGAUUUCUAAUCUUUCAUUGUAUCUUGCCUUUCCUUUCUUGUUGCUAUUACUCACCUAUUUGCUGUAGGUUUUUAUUUAACCUUUCUGUUCUGUGAUUUUCUGUUAUGCUUAUUCUGAGUUGCAGAGCUUUAUUCUCUUGUUUUUCCCAAUUCAGGAAUCGGAUGAACUUCAAAUUUUAGUUUGUUAUUCCCCUCUUCUUUCACUACCUUCGACCAGAGUUUCGUGGACAUCCAGUCAUUCGUUUGAGAAGAUUGAACUCAGGAGUUCUCACUUGGUUCAAGUCCACAUAUCUUGGGCCUGCUUGGGGUACGUUGGUCAACUUCAGGUGACCAGAUGAGAGAAGUCAUAAUUAAGUUUCAAACCUUACUCAAUGAUGGGGACCUUGAAGGAUUAUCUGUGUCUUUGAAUGACAGUUGAAACUUUAGAUGACGUCCAAGAGGAUUACAUGUUAGAAUUUUAGACUGAGAAGUCCCUGAUGCUGGAGAAGAUAAAUGAGCUUGGUGAUUGGGGAGAUGUAUAAAUAAUAUUCACCUUCCUGGAGUGGGAUAAUUCAUGUUAACUGAGUGUGGAAUAUUCAAAAGUUAUUUAUGUCCUACGAUGUGAUUUUUUUUUAGUCACAGAAGGAAUGAGAUCUUGUAACGAGUUUUAUUGUUUAUUUUUCAAUCGGACAUGAUAUACAUUGUAAUAUUAUGUGCUGUAAAUUAAUUUUGGUCGAUUGUACACAGAUUUUCUAACUAACAUACUGGAUCUUGAAGUAUAAUGGGAAAAGUAAUGGUAGUGGCUUCACCUAGUA